rnacentral:rRNA from 1 species
GACGAACGCUGGCGGCGUGCCUAAUACAUGCCAGUUGAGCGCUGAAGGUUGGUACUUGUACCAACUGGAUGAGCAGCGAACGGGUGAGUAACGCGUGGGUAAUCUGCCUUUGAGCGGGGGACAACAUUUGGAAACGAAUGCUAAUACCGCAUAAAAACUUUAAACACAAGUUUUAAGUUUGAAAGAUGCAAUUGCAUCACUCAAAGAUGAUCCCGCGUUGUAUUAGCUAGGUGGGGAGGUAAAGGCUCUACAAGGCGAAGAGACAUAGCCGACCUUAGAAGGGUGACCGCCACAUUUGGAAUGAAACCAGGGCCAAACCUCUACGGGAAGGCGCAGUAGGGGAUCUUCGGCAAUUGACGAAAGUCUGACCGAGCAACGCCGGGUGAGUGAAGGAGGGUUUCGGAUCGUAAAACUCUGUUGAUAGAGAAGAACGUUGGGUAGAGUGGAAAGCUCAUCAAGUGACGGUAACUAACCAGAAAGGGACGGCUAACUACGUG